rnacentral:rRNA from 1 species
AGAGUUUGAUCCUGGCUCAGGAUGAACGCUAGCGGCGUGCCUAAUGCAUGCAAGUCGAACGGGAGGGAAGAAUUUCGGUUCAUCCCGAGAGUGGCGAACGGGUGCGUAACACGUAGAUGACCUGCCCUGGAGAGGGGGACAACCACGGGAAACUGUGGCUAAUACCCCGGAUGUCUGAGAGAUUAGAGGCUUUCAGACUGAAGGCUCCGGCGCUCUGGGAGGGGUCUGCGGCCCAUCAGCUAGUUGGUAGGGUAACGGCCUACCAAGGCAAAGACGGGUAGGGGGCGUGAGAGCGUGGCCCCCCACACUGGUACUGAAACACGGACCAGAUACCUACGGGUAGCAGCAGCAAGGGAUAUUGCGCAAUGGGCGAAAGCCUGACGCAGCAACGCCGCGUGGAGGACGAAGGCCUUCGGGUCGUAAACUCCUUUUCUGGAAGGAUAAGGCCUGUCCGCGAGGGCAGGUUUGAAGGUACUCCAGGAAGAAGAACCGGCUAACUACGUGCCAGCAGCCGCGGUAAAACGUAGGGUUCGAGCGUUAUCCGGAAUUACUGGGCGUAAAGGGCGUGUAGGCGGACAAGGAAGUCGGACGUAAAAGCUCCCGGCCCAACUGGGAGAGGCCGUUCGAAACUCCUUGACUCGAGGCUAGUAGAGGCAAGUGGAAUUCCCGGUGUAGUGGUGAAAUGCGUAGAUAUCGGGAGGAAGACCAGAGGCGAAGGCGGCUUGCUGGGCUAGACCUGACGCUGAGACGCGAAAGCCAGGGGAGAGAACGGGAUUAGAAACCCCGGUAUUCCUGGCAGUAAACGAUGUCAACUAGGUGCGUGGGGUACCCAAUCCCUGCGUGCUGCCGCCAACGCAGUAAGUUGACCGCCUGGGGAGUACGGCCGCAAGGCUAAAACUCAAAGGAAUUGACGGGGGCCCGCACAAGCAGCGGAGCGUGUGGUUUAAUUCGAGGCUACACGAAGAACCUUACCUGGGCUUGACAUGGCGGUGGUAGGGAACCGAAAGGGGACCGACCUUCGGGAGCCGUCACAGGUGCUGCAUGGCUGUCGUCAGCUCGUGUCGUGAGAUGUUCGGUUAAGUCCG